rnacentral:rRNA from 1 species
GUCGAGAAUCUUUCACAAUGGGGGCAACCCUGAUGGAGCGACGCCGCGUGGAGGAUAAGGUCUUCGGAUUGUAAACUCCUGUCAUGCGAGAACAAGGUUGCAGUGUUAACAGCAUUGCAAAUUGAUGGUACCGCAAGAGGAAGAGACGGCUAACUCUGUGCCAGCAGCCGCGGUAAUACAGAGGUCUCAAGCGUUGUUCGGAAUCACUGGGCGUAAAGGGUGCGUAGGUGGCGUGGUAAGUCAGAUGUGAAAGCCCGGGGCUCAACCUCGGAAUUGCAUCCGAUACUACCAUGCUAGAGUACUGAAGAGGUGACUAGAAUUCUAGGUGUAGCAGUGAAAUGCGUAGAUAUCUAGAGGAAUACCAACGGCGAAGGCAGGUCACUGGGAAGUUACUGACACUGAGGCACGAAGGCCAGGGGAGCAAACGGGAUUAGAUACCCGGGUAGUCC